rnacentral:rRNA from 1 species
GGAAAGGCGCGCGAUACAGGGUGACAGCCCCGUACACAAAAAUGCACAUGCUGUGAGCUCGAUGAGUAGGGCGGGACACGUGGUAUCCUGUCUGAAUAUGGGGGGACCAUCCUCCAAGGCUAAAUACUCCUGACUGACCGAUAGUGAACCAGUACCGUGAGGGAAAGGCGAAAAGAACCCCGGCGAGGGGAGUGAAAAAGAACCUGAAACCGUGUACGUACAAGCAGUGGGAGCACGCUUAGGCGUGUGACUGCGUACCUUUUGUAUAAUGGGUCAGCGACUUAUAUUCUGUAGCAAGGUUAACCGAAUAGGGGAGCCGAAGGGAAACCGAGUCUUAACUGGGCGUUAAGUUGCAGGGUAUAGACCCGAAACCCGGUGAUCUAGCCAUGGGCAGGUUGAAGGUUGGGUAACACUAACUGGAGGACCGAACCGACUAAUGUUGAAAAAUUAGCGGAUGACUUGUGGCUGGGGGUGAAAGGCCAAUCAAACCGGGAGAUAGCUGGUUCUCCCCGAAAGCUAUUUAGGUAGCGCCUCGUGAAUUCAUCUCCGGGGGUAGAGCACUGUUUCGGCAAGGGGGUCAUCCCGACUUACCAACCCGAUGCAAACUGCGAAUACCGGAGAAUGUUAUCACGGGAGACACACGGCGGGUGCUAACGUCCGUCGUGAAGAGGGAAACAACCCAGACCGCCAGCUAAGGUCCCAAAGUCAUGGUUAAGUGGGAAACGAUGUGGGAAGGCCCAGACAGCCAGGAUGUUGGCUUAGAAGCAGCCAUCAUUUAAAGAAAGCGUAAUAGCU